UACGUAGGGUGCGAGCGUUUGUCCGGAAUUAUUGGGCGUAAAGGGCUCGUAGGCGGUUUGUCGCGUCGGGAGUGAAAACCCAGGGCUUAACUCUGGGCUUGCUUUCGAUACGGGCAGACUAGAGGUAUGCAGGGGAGAACGGAAUUCCUGGUGUAGCGGUGAAAUGCGCAGAUAUCAGGAGGAACACCGGUGGCGAAGGCGGUUCUCUGGGCAUUACCUGACGCUGAGGAGCGAAAGUGUGGGGAGCGAACAGG
rnacentral:rRNA from 1 species